AUUGAACGCUGGCGGCAGGCCUAACACAUGCAAGUCGAGCGCGAGUCGCACGGGGGUGUAAUGUCUGUGAAACCGCCUGCUGGAGGGGGGUAACACUUGGAGACGGUAGCUAAUACCGCAUACCAUCAGAUGUGCCCAGAUGGGAUUAGCUAGUCGGUGGGGUAACGGCUCACCUAGGCGACGAUCCCUAGCUGGUCUGAGAGGAUGACCAGCCACACUGGAACUGAGACACGGUCCAGACUCCUACGGGAGGCAGCAGUGGGGAAUAUUGGACAAUGGGCGAAAGCCUGAUGCAGCCAUGCCGCGUGUGUGAAGAAGGCCUUCGGGUUGUAAAGCACUUUUGGCGGAGAGGCGGUAUCUGCAGAAGAAGCACCGGCUAACUCCGUGCCAGCAGCCGCGGUAAUUC
rnacentral:rRNA from 1 species